rnacentral:rRNA from 1 species
UACGAAGGGAGCUAGCGUUGUUCGGAAUUACUGGGCGUAAAGCGCACGUAGGCGGGUUGUUAAGUCAGGGGUGAAAUCCUGGAGCUCAACUCCAGAACUGCCUUUGAUACUGGCAACCUAGAGACUGGAAGAGGUUAGUGGAAUUCCCAGUGUAGAGGUGAAAUUCGUAGAUAUUGGGAAGAACACCAGUGGCGAAGGCGGCUAACUGGUCCAGCACUGACGCUGAGGUGCGAA